GAUGCUAUUUCUAGAGAUAGAAGUUACUUCGGUACAUCGGUGACAGGUGGUGGCAUGGUUGUCGUCAGCUCGUGUCGUGAGAUGUUGGGUUAAGUCCCGCAACGAGCGCAACCCCUAUUGUUAGUUGCCAUCAUUCAGUUGGGCACUCUAGCGAGACUGCCGGUAAUAAACCGGAGGAAGGUGGGGAUGACGUCAAAUCAUCAUGCCCCUUAUGACCUGGGCUACACACGUGCUACAAUGGUUGGUACAACGAGUUGCGAGUCGGUGACGGCGAGCUAAUCUCUUAAAGCCAAUCUCAGUUCGGAUUGUAGGCUGCAACUCGCCUACAUGAAGUCGGAAUCGCUAGUAAUCGCGGAUCAGCACGCCGCGGUCGAAUACGUUCCCGGGCCUU
rnacentral:rRNA from 1 species